CAGUGGCCAAAGCCUCCUUUUCUGUCUCCAUCGCCGACACACAGAUCUGAUGUGUGGCCAGUCAGCGCUCCAUGUGCCCUGGCCUCACCUCCAAGCGCAACAGAGCCGUAAACCACACUGGCUCGGCUGUUAUACACACUCAUUACUAUUUCACCAGCAGCGGAACAACAGCACUGACAGCUCCUGUGUCCCCAACAUGAAUAAGAGAAAAAUCACCAUCGCACACGGUUGGCCCUGUCGUCGUGCUUUUCCUUUUGUUCCAGGAAGUCACAGGGUGGAGCUGAGACCUUGUUGGAGAAGCAGCCCACCUGAGGAUGCUUGGCUCAGAAGUCUGUACAUCAGACAUGUUAUAACAAACCGGGGGCUCGUCCAGGAUGUGUAAAUACCUUUCUUUCCAUUCUGUCAGCCUCGCUCUAAAUGUCUUUAAAGAUUAACUGAUUAUCUGUUGGCAAUUAUUUUUCUGACGAUUAACUGUAGUAGCAGAGAUGCAACGACUGCAAUUUUCUUAGCCAAUUCCGAUUUUGUCUAAGUCUGACCUGCUGAUUCUGAUUUUCUUUCUUAAGAACUAUAAAUAA